CACGUAGGAGGCAAACGUUAUCCGGAUUUACUGGGCGUAAAGCGCAUGUAGGUGGUUCUGUAAGUAGGGCGUGAAAGCUCCCGGCUCAACUGGGAGAGGCCGUUCUAAACUACAGAGCUAGAGGAUGGUAGAGGGAGGUGGAAUUCCGGGUGUAGCGGUGGAAUGCGCAGAUAUCCGGAGGAACACCAGUGGCGAAAGCGGCCUCCUGGUCCAUUCCUGACACUCAGAUGCGAAAGCUAGGGUAGCAAACGGGAUUAGAGACC
rnacentral:rRNA from 1 species